CCCUCCCCCUCAAAAACACAUCUCUAAAAUCAUCUAUAUUGUUUUUAAAGAGGCUGCGUGCCAAUAAUUGGUGAAAAUAUCACCAAGUGUUGGAGAAUUUGACAUGCGCCAUCACUACGUGUUAUGGCGCUCGGAUUCAUCCACGUGUCGUCCCUCCCGCUCAAAAAUCAUCGAUGUUAUUUUUCAAGAGGCUGCGUGUUAUGCGAUGCUCAUGACGCCUUCACCAUGCUUAGGCGGUAGUGGGGAAGUUCGUACUCGGAAAAAAAAAAAAAAAA
rnacentral:misc_RNA from 1 species